CCCAGACUCCUACGGGAGGCAGCAGUGAGGAAUAUUGGUCAAUGGGCGCGAGCCUGAACCAGCCAAGUCGCGUGAGGGAAGACGGUCCUAUGGAUUGUAAACCUCUUUUGUCGGGGAGCAAAAGACGCCACGCGUGGCGUUCCGAGAGUACCCGAAGAAAAAGCAUCGGCUAACUCCGUACCAGCAGCCGCGGUAAUACGGAGGAUGCGAGCGUUAUCCGGAUUUAUUGGGUUUAAAGGGUGCGCAGGCGGAUUUUUAAGUCAGCGGUCAAAUCGUGGGGCUCAACCCCAUCCAGCCGUUGAAACUGGCAGUCUCGAGUUGGAGAGAAGUAUGCGGAAUGCGCGGUGUAGCGGUGAAAUGCUUAGAUAUCACGAAGAACUCCGAUUGCGAAGGCAGCCUACUAAACUGCCACUGACAUUGAUGCUCGAAAGUGUGGGUAUCAAACAGGAUUAGAUACCCCAGUAA
rnacentral:rRNA from 1 species